rnacentral:rRNA from 1 species
GACGAACGCUGGCGGCGUGCUUAACACAUGCAAGUCGAACGGUAAGGCCCUUCGGGGUACACGUGUGGCGAACGGGUGAGUAACACGUGGGUGAUCUGCCCUGCACUUCGGGAUAAGCCUGGGAAACUGGGUCUAAUACCGGAUAGGACCACUGCCUGCAUGGGUGGUGGUGGAAAGCUUUUGCGGUGUGGGAUGGGCCCGCGGCCUAUCAGCUUGUUGGUGGGGUGAUGGCCUACCAAGGCGACGACGGGUAGCCGGCCUGAGAGGGCGACCGGCCACACUGGGACUGAGAUACGGCCCAGACUCCUACGGGAGGCAGCAGUGGGGAAUAUUGCACAAUGGGCGCAAGCCUGAUGCAGCGACGCCGCGUGAGUGAUGAAGGCCUUAGGGUUGUAAAGCUCUUUCGUCCGGGGCGAUAAUGACGGUACCGGAAGAAGAAGCCCCGGCUAACUUCGUGCCAGCCGCCGCGGUAA